GCGGCGUGAUGUGCGCAUGCGCAGUCCGCUGAACCAGGGCGUCUGCCAUGCGGGAAUGUUAAGUAAGGAAUCCAGAGACGGUAUUAAUUAAAACACGCAUCUAAGGACUGGAGGGUGUUUACAAGAGCAUGUAUUGACGGGACAAGGGGGAAUGGCUUCAAACUGAGAGAGGGAUAUUUAUGUGUCUGAGCCUGUUGUCUACAUUGGCAAGUAAGAGAAGUUCUGAAGAAAAUGCUGAAGAUCUGACAUCCACAGCAUUGACGUGGGAGUCCAGACCAGCUUUUGUCACUAUGGAUGCAGUGACAGCUAGAGUUUGAAUAUAUUGUGUUCUGGGGAUGUAGCUGUGGGUUUGGUUUCCUUCAAAAGAAAUCCAUUAUGCAUACUCCAAAACCCUGGAUGAAAGACUGCUGGAGCGCCUCUGGAGUGUCUGCAGCUAAGUGAAAAACUACUGGCUUCUGGGUUAUGCCUUUUUUCACAGAAUAACUCAGAUGGUAAUAGGUCAUUCCACUAAAUGCAGAGAAUGUUCUGUUGGGCUACAGCUUUGGGAGAUGACUGUUCACAGAGAGAGAGGAAGCUUCUCCUAUUAUUUUCUCCACAUCCUUUGCCCAAUUCCAGCCGUGUUCUCCAGCUCCUUACCAUGUCAGCCUCCAUCUAGCACCUGAGGGACCCUCAUAGGUAAGCAAAUUUCACCUCCUGAGCUAGCCAUAAAAAAAAACAAACAGUAGGAAAACUGAAUCAUACUCUACCAGAGUAAGAAAGGCUGAGGACCGUAUGACUGGAAUCAGGAUAAGAAAAGACAGGAGAGGAGGAAGCACAAGCCUUCCCCUUUUGGCAUGAGCGAGCUGUUAACAUUGACAGCAGCUUGUGAAAGCGCAGCCUUAGGGCGGGCUGCGUAGUUAUAGGAUUGAGCUCUUGAUCGAAAACUCAAUCCCAGCGGUGCUGCCAGCACGCAGGUUUUACAGCCCCCUUUGACAUGCACACACACUCCCAGCCUGCCCUGCUGUUUAUCAGGCAUCUCAUCUGAGCAAGGAAGUGGUGACAACCAAAAGGCAGGAGCUGCUUAACCUUUCACCGGUAAUUAACCUUGCAAGCACCGCUCGCGUCUCAGAAUGCCUCAGACAGGUGAGGUAAGGCCACACGGGAAGCUCAUUUAAACCAGUGGCUUUUUAAUCACUAUGCAAACAAAACAUUUAAGGAACUCCAGGAGCAGCUGAGACGGCAUAGGGCUUCAUUUUCCCACCCUUCAGCAGAUUCAGAAAGUCCCUCUAUCCUAGGAAGAAGGGAGAAGCUGAUUUUUGCAUUUCCAGUAGAAGGAAUGAGACAGGAAAAUUAGAUCCUUCAGAGGAAGAGAUGUUUGCCAAUGAAGGAUCACUUCAUUGUGAAGUCUGCUUUUCCUUUUCUUCUGCUGUAAUGAAAAUUAAGCAACAACAACCCAAAAAGUGGCUGAGAUAUUCCACAGCAAGUUGGCUGCAGCAGCUGGGGGACGCAGCAUGUAUGCUGGAGGGUGAUGAUGCAUUGAGCUGAAGCAACCCGGGGAAAAGCAGAGUGCAGGACUAAAAGUCGUCUUCCUGCCAGGUGUGAGUCACUGGCAUGAGUACAGGAGUUGUAGGUGAAAGAGGCAGUUCCCCUCUGAAAUUCCUGUGUAGAUGGCACUCGGGACAACAGAGAUUGGAGACUGCCCUGACUGCCUGGAGUUAAAGAGCUUUACGGGGCAAUUAGCUGAAAAUGCAGAGGGACACGUUCGAAGUGGGGGGAGGUAGAAUUUGAAUAGUUGGUUUUGUUUUGGUAUUUUUGUGGGGAGGCAGGGAAAAAAAUUGGGCUGGGAUUUGUCCAGUUUGCUUGCAUGCUGAAUGUGUGGGGUUUGGUUUGUUUGUUUUGUUGUUUGUUUUUUCCCCCAGGGGAAUAGGGGAACAGGAAUAAAAAUGACUGCAGAUAGCUACAUCUAGAGGGAAGGGUGGUACAGUUGGCUUUCAGAGAUUUGGGUCUGGAACAGAGGGUGGAUAUAUGCAUGCACAGGGGUCCAGACCAUUCCAGAAAAAGGGGAGGAGGCUGUUGUAAACAUUUGGGAACUGCUGAGAUAAAGUAAGCUGCUCCAUUCUGUUGUUUUGAAGGGCUCUAACAGUUGACUAUUAAAUCUCAGCUGGAAAUGGCAACUUGCAGCAUGGAGAAGGUAAGGAAAAGCUUCCUGAACCACAUCUGGGGAGUAAUUCCUGAAUGUGGAGCCCUUUUCCAAUUUCUGUAAUGGUGAGUCUAGGCCUCAAAGUGACUGCACUCUGCAAGAGUCAGCAUGUUGGUAUCUGAAGUGUGACACUCAGUGCCACACUGACAAGUCCAUGUUGACCUGCCUGGAGUCACUGCUGCUUUAUUGGCAUUUUCUUGACACCAACUCCUGUGGAGUUGUAGACUGUCAUCCACAGUCCUUUCUGCUGAGUAUUUUAAAUGGUGCUGUUAUGUGUCUUGGUUUCUAAAAAAAAAGCAUAAAUUCUUCUGUUCAGUGUGAAAUGUUUAUGGAUUAGUUUCUCUGUAUUCAAUUAACCAUAUUUGCCUAUUGGAAAUUUUCAGGUUUUUUAAGUUUUUUUUUUGGUGAGGUUUUGGGGGGUUUUUUUGUUUGGUUGGUUUGUUUGUUUUGCCAGGAGUGAACAUAGUAAAUUACACCUCAAAGUGUUGGUCUUUAGGAUCUGGUGCUUAGACAGCUGAGGCCACAAAUGGCUCUUGGGGGACUGAAGAGAAAAAGGAUUAUACUAUGCAUUGCCUCUGAGGAAUAAAAUGAGAAGAAGUGAAUGUUCUGGAGCAUGUAUGUGGUAUGUCCUGUCUUGGUCAGGAGGGUUGAACUAGAUAAUCUAUAGAGGACCCUACCAACUUCAGCUACUUUUGGAUUCUGAACUAGGAAGAAAGUUUUUUGAAGAAGUAGGUGUCUGUAGCCUUUGUGGCUUGGAAUGUAAUUUUUGUUCUACUCCAUCUUUCCAGUCAUGAGUACAUUGAGAACUAACAACUUUCUCCCACCUUCAGAAUUACAUAUCCCUGUUGAUGCCUGGAUACUCAGAUCACAUGAAAAGCCAAAUAAAGACCCUGUGAAUUCACACUGUUUUGAAUAUAGGGCAUAUUGUGGACUUAUAAAACUAUGAGGUACAAAGUUAAUACACAGCAAAAAUGUUUAUGGCACUUGUUUCUAGCUUGAGUGUACCCUGUAAGAUGUGAUGCAUCUGCAUUAUUUGUUUCAGAAAAUCUUGACUGGGAAAGCUUGAAGAUACCCAUAUUAAAAUUUGAUUGUUAUCACCUUG